rnacentral:rRNA from 1 species
GGACGACGUCAAGUCAUCAUGGCCCUUACGACCAGGGCUACACACGUGCUACAAUGGGUAUUACAGAGGGCUGCGAAGGUGCGAGCUGGAGCGAAACUCAAAAAGGUACUCUUAGUCCGGAUUGCAGUCUGCAACUCGACUGCAUGAAGUCGGAAUCGCUAGUAAUCGCAGGUCAGAAUACUGCGGUGAAUACGUUCCCGGGUCUUGUACACACCGCCCGUCACACCAUGGGAGUGGGUUGCUCCAGAAGUAGAUAGCUUAACGAAUGGGCGUUUACCACGGAGUGAUUCAUGACUGGGGUGAAGUCGUAACAAGGUAGCCGUAGGGGAACCUGCGGCUGGAUCACCUCCUUA